GGAUGUGAGGGCGAUCGGGCUGCGACAUGUCACCCCAUUCAUCGCCAGGGUUGAUGCGGCCGACCUGGCUGGCUCGGCGGUGUCCCCUUCCUCCCUUACAGCUCCAUGUGUACCUCUCCCGAAGCUGGGCACUCGGUUGAAGGGGAUGAUCAUCCCCGAUAGAGGAGGACCAGCCUUCGUUCAAGGGUAUACGAGUAGCUGCUAGAACCUCCAAACAAGCUCUCAAGGUCCAGAGAUGUGAUGUGAACUCCAGGUCUUAGCUGAUGAUCACGUGGCUGUGCAGUGGUGCAGACUGUGUCCUGAUGA
rnacentral:snRNA from 1 species